rnacentral:rRNA from 1 species
UGGGAACGUGCCCUUUGGUACGGAACAACUGAGGGAAACUUCAGCUAAUACCGUAUGUGCCCUUCGGGGGAAAGAUUUAUCGCCAUUGGAGCGGCCCGCGUUGGAUUAGCUAGUUGGUGGGGUAAUGGCCCACCAAGGCGACGAUCCAUAGCUGGUCUGAGAGGACGACCAGCCACACUGGGACUGAGACACGGCCCAGACUCCUACGGGAGGCAGCAGUGGGGAAUUUUGGACAAUGGGCGCAAGCCUGAUCCAGCCAUGCCGCGUGCAGGAUGAAGGCCUUCGGGUUGUAAACUGCUUUUGUACGGAACGAAAAAGUUCUCUCUAAUACAGGGGGCGAAUGACGGUA